AGUGAGACAGUCGUCAUGAAGCCAGCCACCAGGUCAGACGUGCUGAAUCUUUCCCGGAAAUGAUGCAGGCAGAAUCUCAUCCACAGGCUCAGCCACCCAGACUGCAUCAGCAUCACACAAGGCUGCCGUGAGCAACAGGAGACUCCUCAUCAAGAGCACAUUAAACAUUCCUGGAAAUUCCAUGGUGUUAGCACUGCCCUCGACACAUCUGUGAGAGCAACACAGACACACAAAGCAUAUUCUCAGCUCAAAAUGCACAUAGAGUGCUGGCAGCUGGGAAGUCCACACAUAUCGUGAGACUGAAUGGGACAUGAAUGUUGGGUCCCUUGAGGACAGGCCUUCGCACCCUCACUUGAUCUGUUUUGCACUCUCGUGGUUGGUUGUUUUGAAAACAGGAACAAUCUGUUGUUCUCAACAACGUGUUUAAGGAUGUUUACCCCAAGCCAUGUGAGUGAGUUACAGUGAUGAGCUUCCUGCUUUUGCUGGCUCAGCCUCCCCUGCUGAGGGCUAUAUAUACUGUGUGAGAAAGUGGAAUAAAGGCUUGUCUGCAGAA